rnacentral:lncRNA from 1 species
ACUUAUAUAGCUAUUUUCUGGACACUCCACUCAAAGCGCUUUACAGGUAAUGGGGAUCCCCUCCACCACCACCAAAUGUGCAGCAUCCACCAAUGUAAAAUAUACAUUGCCGUAUAGAACAGGCUGCGCUGGAAGUCGCGAGUUUUAAAGUUGAAGAUCUUAAUGUCUGAUUACGGUCACGUAUAUAGAGGCAGGUUAUCAAUAUAGGCCAGAUUCACAUACGUCAUAUAACUUUUUAAGUACUGAAGCUCCACAAUAUUUGUUUUUCUCCCCUUUUGACGGGUUUGCCGUGCGGCGCCGGCUCUGCGCGGUCGCCACUGUCCGCCAGAGGGCGCAGCGGCCAGCUGUGCGGAAGAGGGGGGCCCGGAUGGGAGCUGUCUGUUGCCAUGGCGCCGAGCUCCGCACCAAGGCCUGUUCCAGCGGGAUCGCUCCGUCUAAAUGACAUACAGUUUGAUCAUCUUCUGGCUGGAUCAUCACGGAUAGGAAUGUGUUAUCUGCUAACUUCUGGUGUUAUAUACAACUCCCCUGCUUUUCGCCGAAUGAAGAACAUAUUUUUUUUUAACUUCCCAGCGGAUGUGCUGGGAACAACAGCUGUGCUUAAACCCUACUGUUGCAACUCCUAGCUUUCUCUUGUCGUCCAGGUAUGCGAGAGGUUUCGGGUGCUAAUUAUUCAAAUCCAUAUAUGACCGCCUACAAUGUGAUGCGUAUGAAACGGCUGAUAGCAGGGGCAAUUUUUUUUAUUAACCGUUUCAUGUUCAGGCUUCGACGGAAACAUGACACGUUUACAACAGCAACAAAGACUGCAGAUACGAAAUAUAAACGUGAAACAAGAGUUCAUGGUUUGUAAAAAAAGAAAAUAACGAGUGACUAGUGAAAACGAGAGGGAUCUGGUCAAAAUAAAGAGUCUCCCUUUCAGCGGCUGGGCUUCACGUUGUCUUCAGCUUCAGAAAGCCCGGACGGGUCGCGAUGUUCCGCAUACACCGAGCACACGGUCUGUCCAGCGAGGUGAAGGCCAGCGCCGGAUGUUUGCCGGUCGGGCUGGUCUCGGAGACGGAAGAUCAAAGGACCGGGAACCACCGGGCCGGACCGGGCCGGACCGGGCGUCUCUCGACCUGCCAGCGCCGCAGACCCGGCUCUCAGCGGGCUGAGCUCCCGCUCCACGCGAGUCCGUGACAGGGGCCGCGGGUGGGCAUUCGUGUUUUCUUAACAGCCCCCGAAUCCCUGCCCAAGCCUCGCAUGCGAUCUUCACUUUGGCAGAACCGCUGGGCGAUACUGGGUCUAGUUCCCCCAGCCGGACUCUGUUCGCGCUUGCCAGUAACUGCUGGACCCACCCAGUUAGUCUUUCCGAGUGUCUUAUUGAUUCAUUUAUUGAAUGUAUCAAUUCUUUGUCUUUUUGUUUUUCGCAUGCGUUCAAAAAUAUUAAGAAGUCG